rnacentral:rRNA from 1 species
AGCAGCCGCGGUAAUUCCAGCUCCAAUAGCGUAUAUUAAAGUUGUUGCAGUUAAAAAGCUCGUAGUUGAAUUUCGGGGUCAGUAGGUUGGUCAUGCCACUGGUAUGUACUGGCCUCACUGAUUCCUCCUUCCUGAUGAGCCGUAAUGCCAUUAAUUUGGUGUUGCGAGGAAUCUGGACUGUUACUUUGAAAAAUUAGAGUGUUUAAAGCAGGCUAACGCUUGAAUACAUUAGCAUGGAAUAAUGAAAUAGGACGUUCGAUCUUAUUUUGUUGGUUUCUAAGAUUGACGUAAUGAUUAAUAGGGAUAGUUGGGGGCAUUAGUAUUCAAUUGUCAGAGGUGAAAUUCUUGGAUUUAUUGAAGACUAACUACUGCGAAAGCAUUUGCCAAGGAUGUUUUCAUUAAUCAAGAACGAAAGUUAGGGGAUCGAAGACGAUCAGAUACCGUCGUAGUCUUAACCAUAAACUAUGCGACUAGGGAUCGGAUGAUGUAUUUUUAAUGACUCAUUC